ACCUCAGACCUCAUCUGGGGCCCCAGGAAGCUGCCUGCACCAUGGCCUGGACCCCUGUCCUGCUCGUGCUUCUCUCCCACUGCACAGGUUCCCUCUCCCAGGCUGUGCUGACUCAGCCGCCCUCCCUCUCUGCAUCUCUGGGAGCCACAGCCAGACUCACCUGCACCCUCAGAAGUGACAUCAGUGUUGGUGGAUACAGGAUAAACUGGUUCCAGCAGAUCCCAGGAAGUCGUACCCGGUAUCUGUUGAACUACUACUCAGACUCAGACAAGCACCAGGGCUCCGGGGUCCCCAGCCGCUUCUCUGGAUCCAAAGACACCUCGGCCAAUGCAGGGCUCCUGCUCAUCUCGGGGCUGCAGCCUGAGGAUGAGGCCGACUAUUACUGUGCGAUCAGGCACAGCAGUGGAGCCAGCAAACUAAUUGAAACCACGGGAGGGACCUGGGAGCCUUGGAGUUACAGCCAAGGCCCUGAGUGA